rnacentral:misc_RNA from 1 species
UUUAAAACUAAAAAUAAGACGCAAACAAGUAAAAAAUAUGUGAAAAAGUUAAGAAAACUGUUCAACAUUUGGAAAAUUUUCAUGAAUAUCUAAUUUGAAUAUAAAAAGUGGUACAUGAAAACAAAACUGUAUACCGUCACAGGAGAAAUUCGUGCAAAGGUGAAGCUGCCGCAACUGCGUCACUCACUGGAAAUCGCAAGCAGAGCGAAAACGAGAAACCCAAGGAACGCGAAUUGAGUGAUAGAACAAAAACGGAUGAACAAAUUUUGUGUAAAAGUGCGUGUUGUUUUUGUUUGUGAGCAGUUGUAAACUACCGUAAAACAUAAUUGUUGAAACGAUUAUUAAAAAAUUGAAAACCUACAUGUAUAAAAUUUAAUAGAAAUAUAAAGUUUAUUAAACGUGAUUAGCGGAAUAAAAGGCACAGGUAGAAUCAAAAAAGAGCAGCAAAAACGUAAAGCAACGUAGCGUUUAAAAAGAAGGAGAAAAAGACAUUGGAAUUUGAUAAAUGCAUUCCUUACAAAGAAGCAGAAGCUGACGAAUUAACAAAAGUAUCAAACAAGGAGAGAGUGAACGCCCUGCACGAUCCUGACUGCAGGAAAGCUGUAAAUCGGUGGCCCUGCUGGAAAAUCAAUUUUACCUACUGCACGUUAAUAGCAAAGGAACAUAAUUUGGUUGUAGAAAAAACUGCAUUAGCAACCACCUAAAUCCAAUCUUUCAACUACUGUCAUUGAUGCAGUCGAAGCAGCUGCUGCUGUUGCUUUAUUAUCAAUAGUAACCCUAGAAACAGAUUUUUAUCUUGUUUCAGGCUCGCGCAGAUAAAUAUUCCACUUAGCGGCACUUUGCCGCGGCCGCGAACUAGGUACACAUUUAUUGAUUUCAGAUCCAAAAUUCGACACUCCGAAAGUUCGGAAAAAUGGCGUACCGUAAACCGAAUGAUUUGGAUGGCUUCAUUCAAAUGAUGCCCAAAGCGGAUAUGAGAGUUAAGGCUCUGCUCGCUGAAGAUUUGGUCACAUUCCUGAGCGAUGAGACAAAUUCAAUUGUCUGCAUGGAUAUGGGUAUGCUGGUCGAUGGCCUUAUGCCUUGGUUGACCGGCAGCCAUUUCAAAAUAGCGCAAAAGUCAUUGGAAGCAUUUUCUGAGCUAAUAAAACGACUUGGACCUGAUUUUAAUGCAUACAGUGCCACAGUCCUACCGCAUGUAAUUGACCGUUUGGGCGAUAGCAAAGAUACAGUCCGUGAAAAAGCCCAGUUAUUAUUGCAAAUAGUGAUGGAGUACAAAGUGUUAACGCCACAAGCCACUAUCGACAAACUGGCCGCCUCUUGCUUUAAACACAAGAAUUCUAAAGUGCGUGAAGAAUUUUUGCAAACCAUCGUUAACACAUUGAACGAAUAUGGUACAUCCCAACUGAGUGUACGAACUUAUAUACAGCCGAUUAGCUCUUUGCUAGGCGAUCCUACAGCAACAGUGCGCGAUGCGGCCAUACAGACUCUUGUGGAAAUAUAUAAACACGUGGGCGAUCGUCUGCGUGCUGAUCUGCGAAAGAAAGAUGAGGUGCCAGCCUCGAAAUUAGCUAUACUUGAGCAAAAGUUUGAUCAAAUAAAAGCUGAGGGUCUGUUAUUGAAAUCCGCUUUGCUAACAACAGCAUCAGCAAAUAAUGGCCAUGAUGAGGCAGAUAACAUCAGCGUACGAGAUCGUCCGACAAAGAUUGUUAAGCGUACAGUGUCUGCAUCAAUGCGAGGUAAGCCAAACGGCUCAGAAUCCAGUGCAGGCGGUGAUGCUGGCGCCGUCACCAUGGAUAUAUUCGAAUCUUCCUUUGAAGUUGUGCCACAAUUAACUAUUUUUCACCCAAAAGACAUGGAUGACAUUUAUAGAAAUAUAAUCGUUGUGAUUAGCGAUAAGAAUGCCGAUUGGGAGAAACGCAUCGAUUCGUUGAAGAAAGUGCGUUCGUUAUUAAUGUUAAAUGUACAAUCACAGCCGCAAUUUGUUGCGCAGCUGAAAGAUCUUUCUAUUCCAUUCCUUGAUAUACUCAAGGAAGAGUUACGCUCCCAAGUAAUACGUGAGGCAUGUAUUACAAUAGCCUACAUGUCGAAGACGCUGCGCAAUAAGCUCGAACCCUUCUGCUUGGCGAUCCUAGAGGCACUAAUUAAUUUAAUUCAAAAUUCUGCUAAAGUAAUUGCCUCUUCGUCGACAAUCGCCCUAAAAUAUAUCAUCAAGUAUUCCCAUUCUCCGAAAAUGGUUAAGCUCAUAACUGAAACAUUGCAGCAGUCGAAGUCGAAGGAUAUACGCGGCGCUCUGUGUGAAAUGCUUUGUUUGAUGUUCGAUGAGUGGCCAACAAAAGCUCUGGAGCGCUGUGCUCAGCAACUUCGCGAUGUGCUCAAACGGUCUAUCGGAGAUGCAGAUAAUGAGGCACGCCGCCAUUCGCGUCGCGCCUAUUGGAAGUUUCGUCGACACUUUCCUGACCUUGCUGACCAAAUCUACACGACACUUGACAUUGCGUCACAGCGUGCAUUGGAACGCGAACGAGACGGCGGUAAUGUGCUGAUUGAAGCUGAACGCCGUUCUGCUGUAGCAACUACACGAUUCCAGCGUUCACCAGGCUCGCUGCAAAAGCCCGCUGCCGGAAUGCGUAGCGUGUCCGCUGUUGAUACCGCAGCUGCCCAGCGUGCCAAAGCACGUGCUCAGUACUCUUUUUAUCCGCGUAAAAAAUUAAGUGCGGUUAAUAAUGCAAGCUCGACCGGUAAUAGUACCGGCUCAACAGGCACGGCCGCCACUGGCUCUUUACCGCGACCACGGUAUAUGGGUGGGACAAGCACCGCUGGUGCUCCAGGCUCGCAAUCGUCAGUUGGCGUAACGCCUCGUACUCGCGGCAGAGCUGGUGUAUCGCAGUCACAACCUGGUUCUCGUUCCACCUCACCUAGCUCCAAGUUGCGAGAACAAUACGGAUAUAGACCAAUAACUGGUACCAUACCAAAAAAGGCGUCGGGCAUACCACGCUCAUUGACCAGCUCGCGCGAAACGAGUCCCACUCGCGUUGCCAUGAAACGAAGUAUAUAUUCUACGAAUAAUGCGACAGGUUCGGCACGUCGCACACCUGAGCGUAGCAAUUCGCGUUCAUUAGCUGCAGCACGCAUUUUGCAACAGAGCCGCGAGGCGGAGAACGCAUUAGCCGAUGCACUUUCACCUGAAGCGGAGCGCGUUAUUGACUAUGGCGAGUAUUCUCGUGGUUAUACCGCUGGUUUGCGAAUGGGUCGAAAGUUGUUGUCGCGCGACGAGUCCGACGACUCCGAGGCAUCGUCGGUGUGUUCGGAGCGGUCGUUUGAUUCGUCAAUGACGCGUGGCAACAAUUCGAAUUAUUCGCUCUCAGGCUCGCGAAAUCGACUAGACUGGAGUUGUACUCGCGCACCGUUCGACGACAUCGACACAAUUAUACAGUACUGCGCUUCUACACAUUGGUCUGAUCGUAAGGAUGGUGUUAUUAGUUUAACUCAGUACCUAGCCGACGGCAAUCAGCUAACACCACAGCAAUUACAAGCUGUUUUGGACAUGUUCCGAAAAUUAUUCAUGGAUCCACAUACUAAAGUGUAUUCACUGUUUCUCGAUGCAGUGACCGAGUUGAUACUUACUCAUGCCAGCGAACUGCAGGAUUGGCUCUUCGUUCUACUAACGCGUCUCUUUAAUAAACUCGGCACCGAGUUACUCAACUCUAUGCACAUUAAAAUCGGCAAGACAUUACAAGUAGUGCACGAAUAUUUCUCUACCGACCAGCAGCUGAGGGACGUCUUCCGCAUACUCGCCGACACGGCACAAACUCCAUGCACCAAAACCAAAAUAGCCAUACUAAAAUUCCUCACAGACUUGGCCACCAGUUACUGUAAGUCCACCGACUUUCCCUCCGAUGACGGACCGUUGGCGGUUGAUAAGGCUGUGCUGAAGAUUGUACAACAAGCUGGUGAUCCCAAAAGCAAGGAUCUACGUGAUCAAGCGCGUAAAUGUCUCAUAGCGCUAUACAACCGCAGCACACCACAGAUGACUAAAUUAUUAUCCAGCCUACCCAAGGGCUAUCAGGAUACUGCUAAGGCCAUUAUACAGUCGCACUUACGACGCAACAGCACUUCCGGCACAAAUUCACCAUCAUCACCACAUUCAAGUGCCAGUCCCAAACCGCUGCAGAGUCCAUCGCUCGGACCAUUCUCAUCACUACAGCCUCAAUACAGCACUACUAGUCCACGUUCGCGACAGUCGUCUGUCGACCAUGAACUCUACUCGGAGGCAGAUGUACAGCAUAAUAUACAUAAAACAUCGGAGGAAAUACGAAAUUGCUUCGGUGUUGGUGUAGGCCUCGAGACGACUACGAACAAUACGCGUCAGUAUCAUUCGCUCUCCAAUGCCAAUGGCUACAAUGGCUACCUGCACGAUCAGCAAGACUCGUGUGCUUCUUCCAAUUCCAAGACACAAUCGGCCACGACAACCGAAUCAAAUACACCCGAAAGUACCACAAUGCGUUUAGAUGCCAACUUGUUGGAGCAACAUCAACGCAUGACUACAAAUGUACUAACUACAGCAACACCAAAUGCCAACACAGCAGUUGUAGGCGGCACAACACACCACAACACACGCUGUAAUUACACCAUCGCGUCUAACGGUGAACUUGUGCUCGAAAAUGGCUUAAACGAAAGUGAGAUUAUACGUGUCUCAUGCGCACUGAAGCCCGAAAUGCCGGUGGAGCAGCUGCAACAGGCACUCGCUAAUUUGGAGAUCUGCAUUAAAGGUGGCAACUGCGAGCUGCCAAACAAGAAUUUCCGUGCAAUCAUGAAAAUGUUGCUCGGUCUGUUGGACUCGCAAGCUGCAGAUGUGAUGAUAGCCGUGAUAAGUGUGCUCGGUAAAAUAGUGCGCAGCACCAAAAUGAAAGACACUUGGAUCAACUUCUUAGAGCUGAUUUUGUUGCGCAUAAUAAACUGUUAUCAGCACAGCAAGGAGACGGCGCGUGAAAUCGAUUUGAUCAUACCACGCAUAGUAUCCUCAUUGCCAUUAAACGCAACCAUUAAUAUUGUAAAUCCUGUUAUCGCAACCAGUUCUUAUCCGCUUAACUUGUGCGCUGUCAAGUUGCUCACAGAGCUGGCAGAUCGUCAUGGCGCCGAGUUGACCGAAUUACAUUUGGACAGCGUAUUUCCAAAUCUGGCACGUCUCACUGACGACAGCGAGUCGAUGGUACGCAAGGCUGCCGUUUUCUGCAUCGUUAAACUCUACAUAGUGAUGGGUGAGGAGAAGGUGAAACCGAAAUUGUCGGUAUUGAAUCCAAGCAAAGUGCGCCUACUCAACGUCUAUAUUGAUAAGCAGCGCGGCAGCAGUGGUGGUGGCAGUUCAACGAAAAACUCAUCAGCUUCAUCAUCAUGAUUGCGUCGCUCAUAGAUGUCGGCAUGUGAGGAUGUGAAUGCAGAUGCAGAUCAACGGCUAAUGCAACAACAAAGAUAUUAGCAGCAAUUGAAAUGAAAAGGCAGUGGUGACCUCACAACACCUUGUGACGGUUGUUAUUGAUGAUGAUUAGCCGUUGACUGUAGGUGGUGUGUAUGUGUUGUAAACGCAUUAAAUGCAAAUUAUAAUACAAAAAAACAGCUUGCGUCAGCAUCAAAGUGGAAUUGGGUGGAGUGUGGUAUGUGGAAAUAUGAAAAAAGUGUCAUUACUUGGAAAUUAUGAAUACGUAAAGUAUUUUUGGCACUUUUAACAUUUGCGAUUUACAGUAAUCGUUCAUGCAGCUGUAUUUUUUUUAAUCUCAUUUGCGAAACAGUUGAAAAGUUUCAACGGUUUUAAGGUAAAAGUCUAACAACACGCUUCUACGUGUUUUUGAAAGUUAUUAAGGACAUUGUGUACAUAAUUUGGUAUCAAAUAAUUGCAAUAUACUGUUAUUUGUUCCUGUUCCACCAGUUGCCUAAUAAAAGCUAUUGUCAUACAUAUUUAUGCAUUUAUUUUAUUCGCACACUAUUCAAUUCCACUUUGGUUUUUUCUUAAGUGUAACGGUUUAUGUAACAAACUACUGCUUAAUGAGUUCGCAUUAGGUAUCUAAAUAUGUAUUUGCCCCCUUUGCUCAAACAAAAAAAAACAAAAAACAAAAAACAAGAAAAAAUAAUGAACAUAAAUGUAAAUUUACAGACACCGUUUAAUUAAUUAAUAACUAAUUGUAAUUUGUUAGUUAUAAUUACCAUUAAUUAAACCGAAUGGUAAAACAAAAUACAAAUUGUAACUAAUUUCUCGCACAUUCUUAAUUCUAAAAACAUUUUUAAUUUACACCAGUAACCUCAGCACUCAAAUAUUGUAGUUCACUUCCAAUUUGUAUGCAGAACAGUGCUUUGUUUUAUUUGUUUAAAUAAAUUUUACAACUCCUAUAUAAGUAUACAUACAUAUUACACAUACGAGUAUAUGACUUUUUUACACAAACUCAUAUCGGAUGAUUUCACUAUUUUUAAUCUGUGUCCAUUCUAAAGUUUUCAUUUUAUGUAUGUGUGUUUUCGUACUAAUUUCUUUUUGUAUAUUUUGCGCGUACUUGUCUCCAGUUUUGUAAACAAUAUAUUUUAAUUACUUGUCUUUCAUGUAAUUACCAACUACAUACAUAUACGUAAGCCUAUAAUGAUUUGCUCCAGAAACGAUACGAAAUUUUACGCAGAACGAAAACAUUAAUGUCAAAUACAUAAGAAAGUUUAAAUAAAUUACAAGAACUAC